GAACCCUACUCUCUUCAACAAUCGGCAAUCAGCAUCACUUCAUCAUCAUUCAAUUCUUCAUCUCCAAGUUUCCAUCGAUUACAAGUUUCCAUCUCCAAGUUUCAAUCGAUCUUCAAUUCUUUAUCAUCAUUCAUUGAUUUUCAUCUUCAAUUGCUUCAAUGAUUCAAACUAUGGAUGUUCAUGAAGAUCAAGUAAGAGCAUAUAUUUAUAUUUCAUGUUUUAAGAUUAUAUAUUUCAAUAUUUGCUUCAAUGCUUCAAUGAUUCGCCAAAUAAUGGCAUGCAUGCAAGUUUUUUUUCUUUGCUUUUGUUGUCUCCAUUCCAAAUAUAUGCAUUGUUAUCCCUACUUAAUUAAAAGAUCUUGAUUCUUGAUCAUAGUCUCAUAGUGGAGUACUCCUUUACGGAUGAAAGGUUGUACAUAUAAUAUAUGUUUCAUGUUUUAAGCUCCAUUUAACAAUGUACUUUGUAGACAUACAUGCAAGAUUUUUGUUAGAUUAGUUUAUUGUUUUAUAGUAUGAAUGCAAUUAUGUAAGAUUGUCAAAACUACGAAUUUGUUUACUACUUUUGUUAUAUAAUUAAUGUGUAAAAUUGACAUUGUAGGAUUUGGAUGGGCUACCAAAUGUACCAUCAUCAAGAUACCAAAACUCGGAUGCUCAUGAUGCCAAUAUUAAAGAUGGUAAUCCGGCUAAUUGGAUUGGAAAAGACUUU
rnacentral:lncRNA from 1 species